CCUACGGGAGGCAGCAGUGGGGAAUAUUGCACAAUGGGGGGAACCCUGAUGCAGCGACGCCGCGUGAGUGAAGAAGUAUUUCGGUAUGUAAAGCUCUAUCAGCAGGGAAGAAAAUGACGGUACCUGACUAAGAAGCCCAGGCUAACUACGUGCCAGAAGCCGCGGGAAUACGUAGGGGGAAAGCGUUAUCCGGAUUUAAUGGGUGGAAAGGGAGCGUAGACGGUUAUGCAAGUCUGAAGUGAAAGCCCAAGGCUCAACCAUGGGACUGAUUUGGAAACUGUAAAACUGGAGUGAAGGAGAGGUAAGCGGAAUUCCUAGUGUAGCGGUGAAAUGCGUAGAUAUUAGGAGGAACACCAGUGGCGAAGGCGGCUUACUGGACUGUAACUGACGUUGAGGCUCGAAGGCGUGGGGAGCAAACAGGAUUAGAUACCCGAGUAGUC
rnacentral:rRNA from 1 species